rnacentral:rRNA from 1 species
UACGUAGGGGGCAAGCGUUGUCCGGAUUUAUUGGGCGUAAAGAGCGUGUAGGCGGCUAGGUAGGUCCGUUGUGAAAACUCGAGGCUCAACCUCGAGACGUCGGUUGAAACCGUAAGGCUAGAGUCCGGAAGAGGAGAGUGGAAUUCCCCGGUGUAGCGGUGAAAUGCGCAGAUAUCGGGAAGAACACCCGUGGCGAAGGCGGCUCUCUGGGACGGUACUGACGCUGAGACGCGAAAGCGUGGGGAGCGAACAGG